rnacentral:rRNA from 1 species
UACGGAGGGUGCAAGCGUUGUUCGGAUUUACUGGGCGUAAAGCGCGUGUAGGCGGGUCGUUAAGUGUCCGAGUGAAAUCCCUCGGCUCACCCGAGGACCUGCAUCCCAAACUGCUUGGCUUGAGUAUGGGGAGAGGAUGAGGGAAUUCCUGGUGUAGCGGUGAAAUGCGUAGAUAUCAGGAGGAACACCGGUGGCGAAGGCGCUCAUCUGGCCCCAAUACUGACGCUGAGGCGCGAAAAGCUAGGGGGAGCAAACGGGG